CCCUAUUAUUUGGAAUGUUAAUUUUUGUGCCUGAGUAGUAUUAGUUAUGUUCUUGAAACUUAAAGAAUUUGGCGGUAUCUCAUUCCGUCCAGAGGAAUCUGUCCCGUUAUCGAUAGUCCACGUUGGACCUUACUUAAUUGAUUUUGUUUGUAUACCGCCGUUUAUUGAUUAUCUUUUUAGGGGUUAUAUUAAUUUUCUGGUUUCUUUAUUUUGAUAUAUUUCAGGUCAAGGUGCAGCUUGUUUUUAAGUGGAAUGAUGGAUUACAUUGUUAUUUGUUUGUGGAUUAUUGAAUUUAAUAUUGGUAUGAAAUUGGAUUUGGUUGUAAUAAUUUGUAGAUUGUUAUUAUGAUAAUUGGUUCUGAGAUAUGCACACAUCGCCCGUCGCUCUCGUUUGUUUUCUAUAAUGAGAUAAGUC
rnacentral:rRNA from 1 species